GUGUUGGAAAGAUUUGUGGUAAGUAGCUGUUAAUAGAUGUAACUACCUUGGCUUAAAACUGUGAAGCUAGCAAGAAAUAUUGGGAUUAUUGAAAGUGAUGUUUGGAGUCAUAUUUUUACUACUAUUAAGUCUUUAAUCAUAUUUGUUUCCAGGAAUUUCAUUUGGCCUUAAAGAUGAUUUCUCCAGUGACCCAUAAAGCUGUUAGUGAGGUCAUUGAAUCAUGUAAAGUUCGUUGAAAGCUCAGCAAAUGGAAAACUAUGUACAGCCUCAGCUGGUUUUGCUGCAAAUCACUUCAUUUCGUCCAACUAGUUACACUAGAUGCUUGUAUAUAAAAGUCAACAGAGGGUUGCCUACUUGCCUUAUAUAGUUUGUGUAUCAACAAUGGUAUUUUUUCAAAUAUUCUUGAUUAGCCAUCUCUCUCUCUCUCUCUCUCUCUCUCACACACACACACACAAGUGUCUAAACAAAGCAUAUAUAUGUAGUAAGCAGGAUUAUUAGAAAAAAUGAAAAUAAAAAUUAAAUGAAGCACCAACCAGGAAAUCACUUCACAAAGGAGUACAGAUUUGGAUAUUCUAGAUUUUAUCUAUAGUUUCUUAUCCAUGUACUCUGAUUUGUCAAAACCAAUGAAGCAAAGUAAUCUACACGUAAUGAACAAGAGAGUAGACUCCAAUUCAUAUGAACCUUUUUUUCCCUCCUUCUAUUUACUUGCACUCAAUUUGAUUUAAGAGAAGACUUCAAUUUGCAAAAAAGAAAGGACUUGAGGUGAACUUGAAAUGAGCAAAAAAUACAAAGAGCUUUCUAUUUGACCACCCCUUUCUACCCAGAAAUAAGAGUAUGGUCCAUAUAGAAGAAACAGAUUACAAUAGCCUCACACAUUGCCAUUUUCAACCCCCAAAAUAAAUCAUUGGAAAAAAAGAAAAAAGAGAGAGAAAAAGCACGUAACUGUAACUCCACCACAACCACCCACACUGUCUCUAAUAUAAGCAUG
rnacentral:lncRNA from 1 species